CAAUUUGUAUAAUUCCAAGUUUAUUAAUAAUUACUUACUUGACAAUUUUUCCAUAACUAUCCAACAGUUGAUGAAUGUCAUUGUUGGUUAAAGAGAAUGGUAAAUUCGAAACGUAAACAGUGGAUUUGCUUGGUGCAAUAUGACCGCUCAUGUUUCCUCUCAAUUCUACCUAAUUUUAUAAAAACUAGAAACUGUUUCUCCAACCAGGAUUCUUGAUCUGUUUCUCCAACCUCGAGAAAUAUUAAGGUUAGGAUAAUCCAGAGGUUGGGAUGUAUAAAAAUAUGUACAGAAAUUAGAGAGUUUAUCGUCCGAAAGAGAGGCAGAGUUUUUGGAAGGAAAAUUGAUUUUCAAAGUUCCUUACUACGUCAUAUAUAUUUUUUCGUUUUGCAAGAACAGUAUUAAGCUAGGAGAUUGGUCACCGAUAUUUUGCAUAUUACUGUGGAUCUUGACGAAAUUAAUCUAUACCUUAAUUAAUAAGUGUAACAUAUAUUUUUAUAAGAUCUAUAUUUAAGCAGAUAUAAACGUUUCUUAUAAUUAAAAAAAAUUUUUUCUUGAUUUAUAGAGGCUCUAAAUCUUAAGAGCUUUUACAAGUACUAUCAUAAUAAGGACUAUACAUGUCAAGAUUUAUGUUCUGUAACUUGCAUCGUAAAAUAUAUUAUACUUUACUUCA